AUGAUCUCAAGUUGUCAUACUGUGAACCUGAGUCACAGGAUCCACACAUCUCUCACUUCUCCACUUCGCCACCGUCUUUCUUCUCUUUGUAGCCACCGUGUUUCUUCCGUUCAUCGCCACCGUGAUUCUCCGUCGUGUUCUUGUUUCUUCUCUGUAUCGUCACUGUGACUUCGCCGUCGUGUUUGUUCUGUGUAUCGUCUUCUCCGUCACUCAGAAGCUGCGAUUGAAUUCUCGAAAUUGGAGAUUCAAUUUGCGCCUAACUCUAACAAUAUUCUAAUUUCAUCUUGGGAUUAUAUGAGAUAGAUUCGGAGGCACUGUUAGCUGUUUGAGCAGCUUGUGAGUAGAGACAUGGUGGAGCAACUUGUUGUAAAAUAUCAAGUGGGAGGCUCCAAGGGAUGGUUGUGGUGGAGUUUUAAGAGGAGAGCAUGGAGAGUGGAUUACUGGAUUCUCAAAGUAUUUCGGUGUUUGUUGUGCAUAUGUUUCCCAAUUUUGGAGUGUACUUGAAGGGUUAAAGCUAGCUCAAGCCUGUGGGUUUCAUUUCAUAUAAUUACCUAAUGGUUGUUAACAGUUAACACACUUAAGACAGCUAGAGGUGGAUCUUCGGAUGGCCGCACUUUAGUGCCAAACAUCAAGAGGAUUUUAGAUUUCGAUUGAGAGGUUACUGUACUGUGAGUCAUACUUAUCCGGAAGUAUGAUCCACCUCAAGAGGAUUUUAAUCGAAAAUCAUGAAUGCUUUUAUUUAUUAAUAUUGAGCUUUAGAUCAUCCUUUAUGUUGAAUGCAUAUUCUAACAUAGUUCCUAAGCAACCUCUUGACGACAGGUUUGUUUGGCGCUCUUCCAAGGACGGUAAUUUGACUGCAAACCAAGCCUAUGAAUUCUUUUUUCCGGCACAACAGCGGGUAGAUUGGACUGCUUGGCUUUGGCAUGUUUGUGUACCACCAUCUGCAUCAUUUAUUGCCUGGCGAUGCUUCCAUAAUAAAAUGCCUACAGAGGACACACUUAAGACAGCUAGAGCUGGAUCUUCGGAUGGCCGCACUUUAGUGCCAAACAUCAAGAGGAUUUUAGAUUUCGAUUGAGAGGUUACUGUACUGUGAGUCAUACUUAUCCGGAAGUAUGAUCCACCUCAAGAGGAUUUUAAUCGAAAAUCAUGAAUGCUUUUAUUUAUUAAUAUUGAGCUUUAGAUCAUCUGUUAUGUUGAAUGCAUAUUCUAACAUAGUUCCUAAGCAACCUCUUGACGACAGGUUUGUUUGGCGCUCUUCUAAGGACGGUAAUUUGACUGCAAACCAAGCCUAUGAAUUCUUUUUUCCGGCACAACAGCGGGUAGAUUGGACUGCUUGGCUUUGGCAUGUUUGUGUACCACCAUCUGCAUCAUUUAUUGCCUGGCGAUGCUUCCAUAAUAAAAUGCCUACAGACGAGAACCUCAUGCAUGCACAGGGGCUGUGUCGUAGUUUCUGGCUGUGAUCUCUGCCUUGCGCACAACGAUUCCACUCCUCAUCUAUUUCAGAAAAUUGAUCACAUUUGUUCUAUAGUUUAAGGCGAAAAUGGAAAUGCAUUUGUGAAUAAGUGUGUACUAUAGGUUGUGAAUAAUGGUUUGAAUAUUCAGGAUUUAAAAAAUCUAUUUUACUCUCAUAGUCAA